rnacentral:rRNA from 1 species
UGGGGAAUAUUGGACAAUGGGCGAAAGCCUGAUCCAGCCAUGCCGCGUGUGUGAAGAAGGUCUUCGGAUUGUAAAGCCCUUUACGUUGGGAGGAAGGGCAGUAAGCGAAUACCCUGCUGUUUUGACGUUACCGACAGAAUAAGCACCGUCUAACUCUGUGCCAGCAGCCGCGGUAAUACAGAGGGUGGAAGCCUUAAUCGGAAUUACUGGUCGUAAAGCGCGCGUAGGUGGUUCGUUAAGUUGAAAGUGAAAGCCCCGGGCUCAACCUGGGAACUGCACCCAAAACUGGCAAGCUAGAGUAGGGCGGAGGGUGGGAGAAUUUCCUGUGUAGAGGUGAAAUGCGUAGAUAUAGGAAGGAACACCAGUGGCGAAGGCGACCACCUGGGCUCAUACUGACACUAAGGUGCGAAAGCGUGGGGAGCAAACAGG